rnacentral:tRNA from 1 species
AGCGGGGUGGAGCAGUUGGUAGCUCGCAAGGCUCAUAACCUUGAGGUCCCAGGUUCGAAUCCUGGCCCCGCCACCA